AGGAGACGGUGAUGCUGUGUUGUGCUGUUCAAGUUCUGUGCAGUGCUGAUACCUGUCUCCACGAGUGUGGCUGACUCUACUUAAGAAACCCAGUGGUACAUGAUCUCGAGAAGGAGGUGAUGUAGAAGACAGUUUUUGGAGUAUGGAAUUUGGGAUUGGACAUAAACGGAUUCAAAUAAUGAGACACUAGGAGGCCUGACCUGUUUGUCUACAGUUUCUUCCAUUUUUAAUGUAUUAUUAAACUUGAUACCUUAUAGUUCAAGUUUCUUUAAAAGUAAAGCAGUAUGAUUCCAGGUUUUAGUGAUGGAGGCAUUAUGAUCAAACUAUGGAGAAUCUUGUUCAAGUUUGAUGAUUUGUACACUUGUCACCCAUAUUUUACAUUUACCACUGCAAGAUGGCGCUGGUCAACAAAGGAACCUGCAUGCCUCCCUGGCUCUAGGGAACAGCAGGCGACCCAGGAACAGAACCAGCAAGAGAUCCACUCCAUGUUGGAAUUUAGAGCGUGGGGCAACAAAGGAACCCACUAGCCUCCCAAGAGUAGGCUGCCAUGAGCCUAUUGGCACACGGGCUGAGAAUCAAACCCUACCCCAAUUAACAAAUGGGAGCCAGAGGUCUGAGCAUCUCUUGGAAGGAUGACCAUAUACAAUAUAGAAAAUAUGAGGGAUUUUAUUCUACCAUCUCUUUGAAGGCAAAUAUUGUUAUCACUGUUUUGCUUUGUUUUGAUUAAUUGUGUUGCUCUAUUCAAUACUCUUUUUUGAUAGGUUUUAUGAUGUUCUGUAUUUGGUUUGAUUUUUCUAUACCUGAUUGUAAGGACAACUAUUGUGAAGAUAACGAGAUAUACUAUGAUACCUACUACUGUUAUCCUAGUAACGUACUGUGAAGUUCUGUACCAAUUUCACUGAUUGUCUUGAAUGGCUUUAUUUUGUCUUGUUCUGUUGUAUUUUACUACCUUCACAAUAAUAAAAAAGUGUCUUUUUUUCAUUUUAA